rnacentral:rRNA from 1 species
UACGUAGGUCCCGAGCGUUGUCCGGAUUUAUUGGGGGUAAAGCGAGCGCAGGUGGUUUAUUAAGUCUGGUGUAAAAGGCAGUGGCUCAACCAUUGUAUGCAUUGGAAACUGGUAGACUAGAGUGCAGGAGAGGAGAAUGGAAUUCCUAGUGUAGCGGUGAAAUGCGUAGAGAUUAGGAAGAACCCCAGUGGCGAAGGCGAUUCUCUGGACUGUAACUGACGCUGAGGCUCGAAAGCGUGGGGAGCAAACAGG